rnacentral:rRNA from 1 species
CCUACGGGAGGCAGCAGUGGGGAAUAUUGGACAAUGGGGGGAACCCUGAUCCAGCCAUGCCGCGUGUGUGAAGAAGGCCCUCGGGUUGUAAAGCACUUUCAGUGAGGAAGAACGCCUGGUGGUUAAUACCCAUCAGGAAAGACAUCACUCACAGAAGAAGCACCGGCUAACUCCGUGCCAGCAGCCGCGGUAAUACGGAGGGUGCGAGCGUUAAUCGGAAUUACUGGGCGUAAAGCGCGCGUAGGUGGCUUGAUAAGCCGGUUGUGAAAGCCCCGGGCUCAACCUGGGAACGGCAUCCGGAACUGUCAAGCUAGAGUGCAGGAGAGGAAGGUAGAAUUCCCGGUGUAGCGGUGAAAUGCGUAGAGAUCGGGAGGAAUACCAGUGGCGAAGGCGGCCUUCUGGACUGACACUGACACUGAGGUGCGAAAGCGUGGGUAGCAAACAGGAUUAGAUACACCUGUAGUC